CGCCCCCAAAAUCUGGUGCUGCAUCGCGCGUCCACAGCUCCCCCCCUCAUGCGCCCACGAGAACCACAUUCUCACCCCUACCUCUGCUCCACAUGCUUCCUCGAUCACCUAUUCAUGCCAUCCAUUAGCGAAGAUCUACAGUCUUGCUUCACGCCGCUUCUCUGAGUACCGAAUUGUGGCUUGUUGUCGGGGUGCCUUUUCUAACUUACACAUCUUGGGUAGAGAUAGCCGAAGCAACCACCCGCACCUUGGCGACAUAAGUCUUGACACUCUAGCAUCCAAGAUAAUCUCUGGCGACUUAAUUUGGUGGUGCGGAAGAGGGAUAGAGAAAAGGCUAUAUAUAUGGAGAAAUUGGGAUGAUCUUUAGUAUGACGAUGAGUGCUCUACAAGAUCUGACUGUCUCAACGGAUGCUUGUGCCAUAUUUCUACGAUUAGAUUGUAUCAGUGGGCUACAGUAUGCUUAUUAUGGAUUCUGAGGAAGCUGGUUCAAAGAAGGAAAGGAAUGAGGAAUAUUCCAUAAACUGUCUCCCAAGAGAGCUCAUCGAGCGGAUAUUUUUUCGGCUUCUGGUGAGCACUUUAUUGGUGUGUGUUGGUGUUUGUACGCGCUGGAAAAACUUGAUCCCAAUUUUGGGAUCCCAAUUUUGUCACAUCACACCUGAAGCAUGCAUCCCAUUAUUCCCUCAUAUUCUUCCAACAAGAUUAUGUUGCAGGAAAACAUUACCCGAGUGAUGCUAUUCUAAUUGAUAAAGCUUGGUCACAAUCAACAUAUGCAGUGCCAACCAUUGACCCUGAUGAUUUCCUGUGUGGUUCAUGUAAUGGGAUUAUUUGCUUAUACACAAAGACAUCAACAAUCAAGAUAGCUAACCUUGCAACUGGCGAAUGUCUGCAUCUUGAGAAACCUAUAAAGAAUUUGAGUGGCGACCAAUUCUUGUUCUAUAGUUUUGGGUUUCACCCUUUGACAAGAGAAUACAAAAUUACACACUUGGGUGACUAUGUUGAGGGCCGUCCCGAGAAUGGAGACAAAUUCACCAUCAUUCAAGUUUACAGGCUUGGUGAUGAGAAAUGGAAAGACAUCAGAACCCCAGAAGCCUUAAGCUUGAGUUGCGUCAAAAACUCUGGACUAAUCAAUGUUGGCGGAACAAUGUAUUGGUUAACUAAUGAUAUGGCAACUAACUGGAAGCAUGUUGUUAUGUGCUUUGAUCUCGGCGAAGAAGCUUUUGCACGGAUAGAACUGCCAACAUCCGUACUUGAAAAUAGUGUUUAUGGUGGUCCCCGUAGGUACAGGAUGAGAGAGAUAGAUGGGAAAAUAUGUAUAGCAACCGCUCAAACCUGGCACAAAGUUAUUUAUGGUAAGCUGCAGAUCUGGACACUUGACAACAAGGUCGAGCAAAGUUGGAGCCAGAAGUACAAUAUGUUG